rnacentral:rRNA from 1 species
CUAAGAGACAGAGUGAGGGGAGCGGAGAAAUUCCAAUCGACCCUCGAGAUAGCUGGUUCUCUCCGAAAUAGCUUUAGGGCUAGCCUCAAGUGAUGAUUAUUGGAGGUAGAGCACUGUUUGGACGAGGGGCCCCUCUCGGGUUACCGAAUUCAGACAAACUCCGAAUGCCAAUUAAUUUAACUUGGGAGUCAGAACAUGGGUGAUAAGGUCCGUGUUCGAAAGUGAAACAGCCCAGACCACCAGCUAAGGUCCCAAAAUAUAUGUUAAGUGGAAAAGGAUGUGGGGUUGCCAGGACAAA